CCCAUCCUCCCUCUCUCUCUCUCUCCCAACCUUCUUUCUCUCUCUAGAGGCUCGAUCUUCUCGGACCUCGUCGCUUUCUUCGGCGCGGAAUCUGCCGGCGGAAGGAGGCGGCGGAGGAGGAGGAGGAGGAGGAGGAGGAGCCGCUCGGCGUCGUCCGUUCUCGAUCUCGGGCCAUUGCCAGCCGGAGCAGCGGGAGAUCAUUGCCGCUGCUGCAGCUGCUGCGGCGCUUGCUCGCGCGCGCGGUCCGGGGAGGCUCCCGACGAAUGGGAGCACGGGCGUAGCGGCGGGAAUUGUGCGGAGAUUGAUUGCUGCCGCGGCGGUGCGAUUGGAAGAUGCUCUACUUGAAGCAGCCGAGCGCGGUGCUUUGCAUGGGGAGCGGCGAUAGGUGUUGUUUCGAUUGUUGCGCUUCGUGGUGCGGAUUGGUCAUCGGGUGAAGGAAGGAAGGAAGGCAGGCAGGCAGGAGGAGGAGGAGGAGGAGGAGGUCCCGGCGAUUCCCCCCGCGCGCUGCCUGGUGCAUGCUCGUCUGGUGAUUUCCCCGGAGCCUGUGGCUCGGGGAAGGACCUGAACGGAGGCCGGCGAGGCGGGCGUGCGCGCGUGUGUGUGCGUGUGUUUGCGAAGAAUGGCGCUGCGUGCCGGGAUGGAGAGCUCGUUCCGCUCUUGCGACGCCUGGAUGCAGAAAUUCAGGCUCUACGAGACUCGAUCGAUGUUCUACAUGAUAGGGAGGGAUAGGAGUAGGACAUAUUGGAGAGUCCUUAAGAUUGAUCGACUUGAUCCAUCCGAGCUAAACAUUCUAGAAGAUUCUACCACUUAUAGUGAGCGUGAAUGUUCUGACCUAUUAAGGAGGAUACACGAGGGUAACAUAUCUACUGGAGGAUUGAAGUUUGUGACUACUUGCUACGGGAUAGUUGGGUUCAUUAAAUUCUUAGGACCUUACUACAUGCUGCUAAUAACAAAGCGAAGGGAGAUAGGUGCCAUCUGUGGUCAUACUGUUUAUGCCAUCUCUGAGAGUGAGAUGAUUCCUCUUCCAAAUUCCACAGUUCGUUCCAAUCUACCUAAUUCGAGGGAUGAAGACAGAUACAAGAGGCUCCUAUGCACAAUGGACCUCACCAAGGACUUCUUUUUUAGCUACUCAUACCAUGUUAUGCGUAGUCUACAAAAGAACUUUUGUGAUAAUGAAGCGGGGCACGUUCUCUAUGAGACCAUGUUCGUCUGGAACGAAUUCUUAACUCGGGAAAUUCGGAAUCACCUCAAAAACACGCUGUGGACGGUUGCUCUAGUGUAUGGUUUCUUUAAACAGGCUACACUUUCUAUUGCAGGAAGAGACUUCACAUUGACUCUUAUUGCAAGACGUUCACGACAUUAUGCUGGCAUGAGGUACCUAAAACGAGGGGUGAAUGAAAAGGGCAAAGUAGCUAAUGAUGUGGAGACAGAACAGAUCGUGUAUGAAGGUGUCCCUGAAGGUUUUCCCAUGCAAGUAACUUCUGUUGUCCAGAAUCGUGGGUCAAUCCCUCUUUUCUGGUCACAAGAAACUUCCCGUUUGAAUCUUAAACCAGAUAUAAUAGUGUCGAAAAAGGACCAGACUUACGAAGCCACCCGACUUCAUUUUGAAAAUCUUGUCAGCAGAUAUGGGAAUCCUAUAAUUAUUUUGAAUCUGAUUAAGACGGAAGAGAAGAAGCCCCGAGAAUCCAAACUCCGUGCAGAGUUUGCCACUGCAAUUGAUUUUAUCAAUAAAGACUUGCCUGAGGAAAAUCGUCUGAAAUUUCUUCACUGGGAUCUACACAAGCAUUCUCGGAGCAAAGCUACAAACGCACUGUUUACUUUGGGCAAAGUGGCCACUUAUGCGUUAACGUUAACAGGUUUCUUCUAUUGUCAAGUAUCACCAACCUGGAGACCUGAUGAUUGUCUGAAACAGUCUUCUUCAGAGAAAGUUAAUAAUAGUGGCUUGAGUUCAAUGGAUCUUGGUGAAAACGAAAAUGAUGUGGGAGAUCUUCUAGAGAGAAAACCUAGUGAAGGUGACGACUUAAUAAAUGGAAAUCAUUCUGGAAAGCCUCCGAUGUUCCAAAGAGGGGUACUAAGAACCAAUUGCAUUGAUUGUCUGGAUCGAACAAAUGUUGCACAAUACGCAUACGGGUUGACUGCUCUAGGUCACCAACUUCAUGCUCUUGGAGGUAUAGACUGCCCCAAAAUAGACCUUGAUGCUCCUUUAGCCGAUGAAUUGAUGGGUUUCUAUGAGAGUAUGGGGGACACACUUGCUCAUCAAUAUGGUGGCUCAGCGGCUCAUAACAAGAUAUUCUCUCAGAGACGGGGUCAGUGGAAAGCAGCCACUCAAUCUCAAGAGUUCUUCAGAACUUUGCAACGAUAUUACAACAAUGCUUACAUGGAUGCUAUGAAACAGGAUGCAAUUGAUGUAUUUUUGGGGAAUUUUCAGCCAGAUAUUGAUAAGCCUGCAGUGUGGGAGCUGGAUUCUGACCAGCCCUCUGAUUCUGGGAGGAAUGGACAGACGGAUGUCAAUGAAGAUGGAAGGUCAAUUUUCAAAAGAUGCAUGUCAGAUGGAAAUAUUCUUCGAAAAACAAACCCAUCCAUGUCGACCACAAAGAUCGAUCCAGAGAAGUAUUGUGCUUCAGUUUUACCUGACCGAUCAGAGGGAGCAAGGAGAGUACUCAGCGAGUCGUCACCUGACAUUUCAACCUCAGAGAGCGAAAUAACAUUUUCAAGGUACACCCCUUCAAUGCCUCGGAGACAGCUAUUUGGAGAUGCACAGCGAGAAAACAAUCAUAUUCACUACACUGAGUAUGGAGAUUCAUCAAGUUGCUCCAACUUUGUUGAUCUAGAUUGGCUCUCAUCAUCAGGAAACUCAUGUGAGGAGGAGCCUUACGAAAGGUCAUCAAUACUCAUAAGCUCUCCAGUUGCUGGAUUGUCAUCAGAGAAUGUCAUGUAUGGAAUUGGGGCAACCCCAUCUACAAGUGAUUCCAGCAUGAAGGUCAGUGCCCUUCCUCAAGGUUCUAGCAACCGCUUUUCAGAAAUCAACUCUUGUUGACUCUUAAUGGGAAGGGAGCAUGCUGCAACUGAGCUAUCGUAUCAUUACUCCCAUAAUUCUGAUGUGUUGGAGGAAUUUUCAGAUGGCUUUGUACAAUGGGUAACCUAUGGAGAGGCGCUCUGCCACUGAAGCCCAGCUGAUUCCCUGAAGGUUCUUCUCGCGUUCCCUUUUUAGAACUUGUUCCGAUCUAUACAGAGUUGAUGCAUCGAAUGGGGGUAAUAGGAGAUGGUAUCACGAACAAAGAGGACUCGGGGAAGAAAAAAGGGGGAUCGCCUUCGAUACUUCCGUCAUUCCUCCUGGUCGAGACCUGAUUGAUUAGUACAAAAGAGUAAAUAGCAACGGUUAGAAUUCUUUCUGGAGCUCUGCAUUUCCGUCUACUCAACAAUUUCAUCCGGGACUCAGUAGGUUCGAACUUGUAAAUAUCUGUCUGCUUUCACUUUGCGAGCUCCACUUCUUUAAGCUGCAGAUAAUUGAUUCUUUAUUCCUUGAUGAUCCUACUUGCAUCUACGUGCCAAUAUUAGCUGUCGAGGUACUAGAGCCUCUCCAGUUGUCAAAAUGCUGUCAUUUUUAGGCAUAUAUGCAUGCGAAUAGUACUCCCUCUUCAUUAUCGUAGCCAAAGCUCUCAGGUUGUGUUUUACCAUAUGAGUUGACAAGUCGAUUGCUGAAA